rnacentral:pre_miRNA from 1 species
UACUGCUACCGCAUCGGCCAGCGAGGAGGCCGAGGCUACCAGAUCUGGUGUCCCGGCCUCUCCGUUGGUGGAUCCGGCUGGCUGA